rnacentral:piRNA from 1 species
UCCCCUGCAGGAUGUUGAAGAUGUUCCUU